GCAUUCGUGGUGUAACGGUUAGCACACUCACUCGGCGAUUAUUCGAGAGGUCUAGGUUCGAAUCCCGGCGAGGGCA
rnacentral:tRNA from 1 species